UACGUAGGUGGCGAGCGUUGUCCGGAAUCACUGGGCGUAAAGGGCGCGUAGGCGGUUGUUCAAGUCGCAUGUGAAAUACCAGGGCUUAACCUUGGGGGUGCAUGCGAAACUGGAUGACUUGAGUGCAGUAGAGGUAAGCGGAAUUCCUGGUGUAGCGGUAAAAUGCGUAGAGAUCAGGAGGAACACCGGUGGCGAAGGCGGCUUACUGGGCUGCAACUGACGCUGAGGCGCGAAAGCGUGGGGAGCAAAC
rnacentral:rRNA from 1 species